GCGCACUUAGCUCAAAUGGUAAGAGCAUCACUCUUGAAUGUUGAGUUCGCAGGUUCAAUCCCUGCAGUGCACA
rnacentral:tRNA from 1 species